rnacentral:tRNA from 1 species
GUCCCCNUCGUCUAGAGGCCUAGGACACCGCCCUUUCACGGCGGUAACAGGGGUUCGAAUCCCCUUGGGGAUGCCA